AGUGAACGCUGGCGGUAGGCCUAACACAUGCAAGUCGAACGGCAGCACAGUAAGAGCUUGCUCUUACGGGUGUCGAGUGGCGGACGGGUGAGGAAUACAUCGGAAUCUACUUUUUCGUGGGGGAUAACGUAGGUAGACUUACGCUACUACCGCAUACGACCUACGGGUGUAAGCAGGUGAUCUUCGGACCUUGCGCGAUUGAAUUAGCCGAUGUCGGAUUAGCUAGUUGGCGGGGUAAAGGCCCACCAAGGCGACGAUCCGUAGCUGGUCUGAGAGGAUGAUCAGCCACACUGGAACUGAGACACGGUCCCGACUCCUACGGGAGGCAGCAGUGGGGAAUAUUGGACAAUGGGCGCAAGCCUGAUCCAGCCAUACCGCGUGGGUGAAGAAGGCCUUCGGGUUGUAAAGCCCUUUUGUUGGGAAAGAAAAGAAGCAGGUUAAUACCCAGCUGUUCUGACGGUACCCAAAGAAUAAGCACCGGCUAACUUCGUG
rnacentral:rRNA from 1 species